rnacentral:tRNA from 1 species
AAUAUAAAGAAUAUUUUUAUAUUUCUUUUAUUAUAA